GACAGAGGUGCCGAGCGUUAGGCGGAAUCACUGGGCUUAAAGCGUGUGUAGGCGGAUUCCUAAGUACCUUGUGAAAUCCCACGGCUCAACCGUGGAACUGCUCGGUAUACUGGGUGUCUUGAGCCACUUAGGGGCGACCGGAACAAAUGGUGGAGCGGUGAAAUGCGCAGAUAUCAUUUGGAACGCCAAUGGUGAAAACAGGUCGCUGGGAGUGUGCUGACGCUGAGACACGAAAGCCAGGGGAGCAAACGGG
rnacentral:rRNA from 1 species